rnacentral:rRNA from 1 species
UACGUAGGGUGCGAGCGUUAAUCGGAAUUACUGGGCGUAAAGCGUGCGCAGGCGGUUUUGUAAGCCAGAUGUGAAAUCCCCGGGCUUAACCUGGGAAUGGCAUUUGGGACUGCAAGGCUUGAGUGCAGCAGAGGAGACUGGAAUUCCUGGUGUAGCAGUGAAAUGCGUAGAGAUCCGGAGGAACACCAGUGGCGAAGGCGGCCAUCUGGACCGGUCCUGACGCUGAGGCGCGAAAGCGUGGGGAGCAAACAGG